rnacentral:lncRNA from 1 species
CUAAAAAUGAAUACUGGAGCGACGGGCUCUGCUGUGACAAAUGUGCUCCAGGGUAUAAAUUCGUAAGAAAAUGCACUAGUGACUUGUCAUCGCAAUGUGAGAAAUGUUCGAAUGGGACAUACCUAGACAAGAUGAACUAUUUCCCAAACUGCUUCAGAUGCGAUAAAUGCACCAAGCCAAAUGCGGUGGUGAUUUCACCAUGUACACCCCAAAAUAACACCGUGUGUGGAUGUCAGUCUGGAUACCGCAAAAAGUUCUUUGAUAGCAUUUCAUGGGAGUGUGUGCCCUGUAAACGCAAACAAAAAGGCAGGAAAGCCUUAAUUUUUUCCUCAGAAAUUAUGUGAAGUUUAGCCUGAAGUAUGACCGAAGAACACAGCUCUGCCUCCAGCAUGAACAAAUACCUCAGACAAAAAUGUCAGAAUAUAUGGAAUCUACUUUCCCUUUAUUUUCAGCUGAAUUAAGAUGUAGCCUUAUAAAGCACAAUGUAUUAUA